AUUGAACGCUGGCGGCAGGCCUAACACAUGCAAGUCGAGCGAGAAAGCCCUUCGGGGUGAGUAGAGCGGCGGACGGGUGAGUAACGCGUAGGAAUCUACCUGGUAGUGGGGGACAACAUGGUGAAAACCAUGCUAAUACCGCAUACGCCCCAUGGGGGAAAGCGGGGGACCUUCGGGCCUCGCGCUAUCAGAUGAGCCUGCGUUGGAUUAGCUUGUUGGUGAGGUAAAGGCUCACCAAGGCGACGAUCCAUAGCUGGUCUGAGAGGAUGAUCAGCCACACUGGGACUGAGACACGGGCCCAGACUCCUACGGGGAGGCAGCAGUGGGGAAUAUUGCGCAAUGGGCGAAAGCCUGACGCAGCCAUGCCGCGUGUGUGAAGAAGGCCCUAGGGUUGUAAAGCACUUUCAAUUGGGAAGAAAGGUUGCAGGUUAAUAACCUGUAGCUGUGACAUUACCUUUAGAAGAAGCACCGGCUAACUCCGUGCCAGCCGCCGC
rnacentral:rRNA from 1 species